rnacentral:tRNA from 1 species
GCCCUAGUGGCUCAGCCUGGUAGAGCAUCUGCAUGGUAAGCAGGGGGUCGCGAGUUCAAAUCUCGCCUAGGGCU